GCCGCGGUGGUCUAGCGGUCAGAACGCUGGCCUUGUAAUCCUGGGGUCUCGGGUUCGAUUCCCGGCGGUGCCC
rnacentral:tRNA from 1 species